ACGAACAUGAUCUCCUAGGAUUUAUCUAGGAUUCUAGAACCCGUGUUAAACCUAGAACGAACAUGUGAGAAUGGGAUGGGUUGCAGGUAACUCUGAGCCGUUGGCCUUCAAAUUUUUCACCUAAUCUGUUGCGUGACAUACUACUUGCAUUCAUGCAUCCAUAAAAAUAAUCAUGCAUGUGCAUUGUUUUUAAAGAACUAAAUAGAC
rnacentral:lncRNA from 1 species